UUGAAGCAUAAAGAGUGUUCAAGAAUAUUUGUAAUAGUCUAUAAGCUUCUUAGAAGCAAUGCCUUCAUUUUUGUCUUUUUUCAUCCAUAGGGAUGCUUUUUGAGUGAAUAAUAGAACAUUCCAGGAACUGCUAUGGGCAGUAAAGAAAAUAUUGACACUUUGAGUGGUCCUGUGAAUCUGGAGGACUGAGAGGAUCAUUCUCCAAUAGAGAAAGCAGGGAUGAUGUGAUACCUUAAAAGGCAAUACCUCUUUUAUCUGCCUCAUCUAGCAACAAUUCAGCAUGUAUUUGGGAACAUGAUGAUUUCUGCUUCUUCAGUUUCUGCUCUGAGAGAGCAAGUUUACCCUCAUUUCCUGUGCUUUCAUCACAAGGGCAGGACCCCAGGUCCGAUGGGAAGAAUUCUGGCAUCCUCUGGCUGCUAGGUUUUCACCUUGGCAAAGAUUAAAAUUUAGAUGGUUGUCCUCAUGUGUCACAGACACAGAACAUGAAAGGUUCAAACAAUGGUUGUACCAAUUACCAUAGGGGGCUAAUUAAGAGUGCUUUGUUUAUUUUGCUACAUUAAUAUAAGUUAAUUUUCAUAUAUUGGAUUACAGGCCUUCUAGGGGAAGGGGGGUGGG